AUCCAGCUGACGAGUCCCAAAUAGGACUAAACGCGCGUCCUGUAU
rfam:Schistosoma haematobium scaffold330_6, whole genome shotgun sequence.